AGAGCUCUUCCAAGCAUGUGGCUCUCUACUCUUUCCCUCUGUUACCUCUCUGAAUUUAGUUAGGCCUUCAGUAAGCAGGGACAGACUUUAAGGUGAGGGACUUCCGACCCUGGAGCCAGAGUCUGAAGGUGAUGUGUUGAGGAAUGAACCUGGCCUCCACCUUCUGCUGGAGUAGGGCAUUUUCUCCAGCAGAAGAUGCCUCUACAUCUACUUCAUUGUGUUCCUUUUGGUCUGUUUUCUUCCUCCUACCUAGUCUCUCUCGCCUGCUCUCCCCUUUCCCUGAUUCACUUCCAGGCCGCCCUCCCCCGCCCGGCUUCAUGCCUUCCCUCUUACUCUUGCUUGGUCCUCUGUGUGCAUCAGGUCGGUUUCUGUUCCCUCUCGCUCUUUUUCUUUCACUUUCCCCCGCCCACCAGUCCUUUUUAACUGUGUCAUCAUGACUUACAGUGUGGGAACAUGGAACUCGUCGUCUCCCACAUUACACAGCCAUCUCUGGAUUCCAUGUGACCAGCAUUCCUUCCCUGAGCUACUGGGGCGGAACGGAUGCUCCACCACUACCAGCUGCUAAGGCCCAGCUUCUGAGUCCUGCUUCCUGCCCACUGCAGGGAGGGGGCGAGGCUAGAGCAGAAGAUGGAGGCCACAGAAGUCACCCCCAGUGCCUGGACGUUGGACACAAAGGCCUCAGCAGCUGCUACCCACUCAGUCUCGAACUUGCCAGGCCUGAGACCCAUGAGCUGAGACAUAUCAUUUGUUAUCAAGUACCCGGUCUGGUAUUCUGUGACAGCAGCCUAAGGAAACAAAGACACCUGCCGUGAGUGUCCCCUCCCAUGACACCUGAGAGAGCAGCCACAAACCAGCAGGCUGCAGAUCUACAGAUCUCUUGCAGUUGUCCCAGUCCUGGUGCUGAGAAAACUACAAAGCCUUGAGAACAGAGGCUGCCUCUCCUGGACAGCAUGCCCCUAGUCUGCAGCACAGUUACCAAACAGACAUCCACUGGCUACAUACCUGAGGCUCUCCUGGGGUGCAGCAUGGCAAGAUCAGAACUGAUGGGAUGUUGGAGCCAUGGGCCCCAUAGAAUAUGGACUCUGUUGCCUCGGAACACAGAUGAAGGGACACAGCCAAGCAGUACAGUGACUUGCCAAAGCCACGCGGCUCCUCGGUGGACAGCUGACCAACCCUAACUAUAAGAAAGAGUUCUGAUGGGACUGGCCUGAUAGUACUGGGGACCUCCAACCUGGGAAGGCAGGGACCUGGAGCCUACCAACAAGAACUAAAACAGGGUUUCCUCCCCAACGCCUCCGGACAAAUACUCUGGCCAGUUUUAUGGAAGAGAGGAGAGGGCCAAGCCAUACUGUUUCAGAUUUUGGACUUCAUAGGAUGGAGAACUAACAAAAAGUGUUGUUUUAAGCCACCGGAUUGUUGGUAAUGUCGGUACAUGUUUAAUCAUGUGGAGUUAUCAAUUGUUUUCUUUUGGACAGUCUCACUGUAUGGCCCAGGCUAACUUGCAUAUUGGAAUUCUCUCACCUCAGCCUUCUGAGGGCUGAGCCUGCAGGCAUGUGUCACUACAUCCACCGGACUUUUAAAUGGUUUUCAUGGUCCCCGCGUCUUAGGUCAUAGGCCACAGCCUUGGUAGGCUGCAGAUUUCUAGCAAGUUGGAGGAAAGUUGGCCACCUGGUUCACUGUGGGCGUCACUCAGAAGCCCAUGGAGGUUGGACUGAGGCCGAGAUGAACUUGGCCUUCCUGGACCUGCUGCUUUCUCCUCAGAGGCUCCUCACCUGCAGUUAGAGCAUUGCAUCCAGGGCCUCACACAGAGGCACGGAGGAAGAA